rnacentral:rRNA from 1 species
GACGAACGCUGGCGGCGUGCCUAAUACAUGCAAGUCGAACGCUUCUUUCCUGCCUAGUGGUUGCACUCAAUUGGAAAGAGGGGUGGCGGACGGGGGAUUAACACGUGGGUAACCUACGCAUCAGUGGGGGAUGACACUCUGAUACAGGUUCUAAUACCGCAUAACAGUUUAUGCCUCAUGGCAUAUGAGUGGAAGGCGCUUUACGGGGGCGCUAAUGGAUUGACCCGCGGGUCAUUAGAUAGUUGGUGUGGUAACGGCUUACCAAGGGCGCGGGGCAUAGCCGACCUGAGAGGGUGAUCGGCCGCAUGGGGAGUGAGACAGGGCCAAGACUACUGCGGGAGGCCGCAGUCGGGAAUCGUAGGCAAUGGAGGAAAGUCUGACAGAGUAACGCGGCGUGAGUGACGAAGGUUCUCGGAUCGUAAAGCUCUGUUGUUAGUGAAGAACCAGGACGUUAGUAAACGAAGGGCGAGUGACGGUAUCUAAUAAGAAAGCAACGGCUAACUACGUG